rnacentral:rRNA from 1 species
AUUGAACGCUGGCGGCAUGCUUUACACAUGCAAGUCGAACGGUAACAGGGUGCUUGCACCGCUGACGAGUGGCGAACGGGUGAGUAAUGCGUCGGAACGUGCCGAGUAGUGGGGGAUAACGCAGCGAAAGUUGUGCUAAUACCGCAUACGUACUGAGGUAGAAAGUGGGGGACCUUCGUGCCUCACGCUACUCGACUGGCCGACGUCUGAUUAGGUAGUUGGUUGGGUAAAGGCCUACCAAGCCAACGAUCUGUAGCUGGUCUGAGAGGACGACCAGCCACACUGGGACUGAGACACGGCCCAGACUCCUACGGGAGGCAGCAGUGGGGAAUCUUGCGCUAAUGCGGGUAACCGUGACGCAGCGACGCCGCGUGAGGGAAGAAGGCCUUCGGGUUGUAAACCUCUUUCAGGAGGGACGAAGCUACUCGGGUUAAUAGCCCAGAGGGUGACGGUACCUCCAGAAGAAGCCCCGGCUAACUACGUGCCAGCAGCCGCGGUAA